GUAGCUACAUUUGUGGUGAGCAUAGCAUAAUGCAGAAAGCUAUCGAAUAACCCACGUUGUACACCUGAAAGUAAUGUAACAUUGUGUGCCAAUUAUACUUCAUUAAAAAAAUAAAAUAAAAUAAAAAUACUUACUCAUCCACAGAGGAUUUUGGAACAAGGAUCUAAAAAGUUUUCUCCUCCUUCUUCUAAGGAAGACAUUUGGAGAACAUUAGGGAGAAGGCUACACCUAUAUCCUUGAGUGACCAUGUGCUCUGCUGUGGAUUAGGCCAUCAAGAGAUGCCCAAGAAAUCUUGGAGGAGGAGGAAGAGGGUGCAAAACAGUGAAGUGCAGCAGCCAUGUUGUCACCAUGAGGAUGGAAGAGGUGUGCUGAGGAUGACAGAAGGACACAAAUCAGCUCUGGAUUGUUGAAAUAUAUCCUACUUAUGAAGAAACACUCCACUGGGCAGAUCCCAGCCCCAUCUUCGGGAGUGGUUAUGAGACCCAAGUCUGCAUAAUUAGGUACCGUCAUGCCCCUGGCAUGCAGCCAUGCGUGAGGGUGGGGCCACACGACCUAAGCUGAACCAGUGGGAGUCAUCCUGGAGACUUUGGCUGCAGUUGCGGGUGGGGGCACAUUGCUUUCUUUUCAGGAGGAUUCCCCAGCUUUAAGGACAAUGUAAAUCUAUAGCUGUUGGAGACCCGCACAUGGGAGAAUGUGCCCGAGAAUGAAACCCAUCUGGGAGAAAAGAAUUGGGAAAUGAAAAAGAGAGCGACUCCCAAUGAUGCAUGAAUAAAACCCUGGACUGGACCAUACCUGAAGACUGUAUUCAUCUCCCUUGAACUUCCCUGGGACACGAGCCAGCAACGUGUCUUUUUUUCUCUGCAUUUCGGUUGCUGUAGCUUCUAACUAAAAUCAUUCUGACUGAUACACCUGGCUCAUUGGCUCAGGGCCAG